AGAGUUUGAUCCUGGCUCAGAUUGAACGCUGGCGGCGUGCUUAACACAUGCAAGUCGAACGUGAAAGUCCUUCGGGGCGAGUAAAGUGGCGCACGGGUGAGUAACGCGUGGAUAAUCUACCCUUAAGAUGGGGAUAACGGCUGGAAACGGUCGCUAAUACCGAAUACGCUCCCGAUUUUAUCAUUGGGGGGAAAGAUGGCCUCUGCUUGCAAGCUAUCGCUUAAGGAUGAGUCCGCGUCCCAUUAGCUAGUUGGCGGGGUAACGGCCCACCAAGGCAACGAUGGGUAGCCGGUCUGAGAGGAUGACCGGCCACACUGGAACUGGAACACGGUCCAGACUCCUACGGGAGGCAGCAGUGGGGAAUAUUGCGCAAUGGGCGAAAGCCUGACGCAGCGACGCCGCGUGAGGGAUGAAGGUUCUCGGAUCGUAAACCUCUGUCAGGGGGGAAGAAACCCCCUCGUGUGAAUAAUGCGAGGGCUUGACGGUACCCCCAAAGGAAGCACCGGCUAACUCCGUGCCAGCAGCCGCGGUAAUACGGAGGGUGCAAGCGUUAAUCGGAAUCACUGGGCGUAAAGCGCACGUAGGCGGCUUGGUAAGUCAGGGGUGAAAUCCCACAGCCCAACUGUGGAACUGCCUUUGAUACUGCCAGGCUUGAGUACCGGAGAGGGUGGCGGAAUUCCAGGUGUAGGAGUGAAAUCCGUAGAUAUCUGGAGGAACACCGGUGGCGAAGGCGGCCACCUGGACGGUAACUGACGCUGAGGUGCGAAAGCGUGGGUAGCAAAACAGGAAUUAGAUACCCUGCUAGUCCAACGCUGUAAACGAUGGGUGCUGGGUGCUGGGAUGUAUG
rnacentral:rRNA from 1 species